GUAGGGAAUCUUCCACAAUGGACGAAAGUCUGAUGGAGCAACGCCGCGUGAGUGAAGAAGGUCUUCGGAUCGUAAAACUCUGUUGUUAGAGAAGAACGUGCAUGAUAGUAACUGAUCAUGUAAUGACGGUAUCUAACCAGAAAGCCACGGCUAACUACGUGCCAGCAGCCGCGGUAAUACGCAGGUGGCAAGCGUUGUCCGGAUUUAUUGGGCGUAAAGGGAACGCAGGCGGUUUUUUAAGUCUGAUGUGAAAGCCUUCGGCUUAAACGAAGAAUAGCAUUGGAAACUGGAAGACUUGAGUGCAGAAGAGGAGAGUGGAAUUCCAUGUGUAGCGGUGAAAUGCGUAGAUAUAUGGAGGAACACCAGUGGCGAAAGCGGCUCUCUGGUCUGUAACUGACGCUGAGGUUCGAAAGCGUGGGUAGCAAACAGGAUUAGAAACCCCGGUAGUCC
rnacentral:rRNA from 1 species